rnacentral:pre_miRNA from 1 species
GAUCUACUCCCUCCGUUCGGAAUUACUUGUCACAAAAAUGGAUGUAUCUACAACUAAAAUACAUCUAGAUACAUUCAUUUCUUGGACGAGUAAUUCCGAACGGAGGGAGUAGCCA